rnacentral:rRNA from 1 species
CCUACGGGCGGCAGCAGUGGGGGAUAUUGCACAAUGGGGGGAACCCUGAUGCAGCGACGCCGCGUGGGUGAAGGAGCGUUUCGGCUCGUAAAGCCCUUUCGGCAGGGAAGAAGGAGGACGGUACCUGACUAAGAAGCCCCGGCUAACUACGUGCCAGCAGCCGCGGUAAUACGUAGGGGGCAAGCGUUAUCCGGAUUUACUGGGUGUAAAGGGGGUGCAGGCGGCAGCGCAAGCCAGGAGUGAAAGCUCGGGGCCCAACCCCGGGACUGCUCUUGGAACUGCGCGGCUGGAGUGAAGGAGAGGCAGGCGGAAUUCCUGGUGUAGCGGUGAAAUGCGUAGAUAUCAGGAGGAACACCGGUGGCGAAGGCGGCCUGCUGGACUGCGACUGACGUUGAGGCGCGAAAGCGUGGGGAGCAAACAGGAUUAGAUACCCCUGUAGUC